rnacentral:rRNA from 1 species
GCGCAGCAGGCGCGAAACCUCCGCAAUACACGAAAGUGUGACGGGGCCAUCCCGAGUGCCGUCCGCUGAGGACGGCUUUUCCCCAGUGUACACAGCUGGGGGAAUAAGGAGAGGGCAAGCCUGGUGUCAGCCGCCGCGGUAAUACCAGCUCUCCGAGUGGUGGGGACGCUUAUUGGGCCUAAAGCAUCCGUAGCCGGCUGGGCAAGUCCUCCGUUAAAUCCAACGAUUCAAUCGUUGGGCUGCGGGGGAGUACUGUCCAGCUUGGGGGCGGGAGAGGCCGACGGUAUUCCCGGGGUAGGGGUGAAAUCCUAUAAUCCCGGGAGGACCACCAGUGGCGAAGGCUGUCGGCUAGAACGCGCCCGACGGUGAGGGAUGAAAGCUGGGGGAGCGAACCGGAUUAGAUACCCCGGU